UCAAAUGUUCAGUAUACAUCACAUACUUCUGAAUAGGUCUGAUUUGUUUCUGUUCCCCAGUUGAGCCAUUACAUUUCUCAAUACUGCAUCACAGUUGAUUUUUAUUCAUUAAAUAAACUUGUAUUGUCUUUUUGUGUCUUAGGAUCUGUCUGCAGGCAGCGUAGAUCUUAUAGAUGAUGCAGACCAGGAGAAGGGAGACAGUUUGUGGAUAACCAGUGAAUUAACCAGCUGCAAUUCAAAAUCACUAAUUCAGACCAAGCUCUCAGACACUUCAUCUACAGGAAGAGGAAAGAAUUUGACUUACCAUGUGUUUGUUAACUGGACGCAAGUGAAUGGAACAAGCCUCUGUCUAACGGUUCCAAAUGAAAGGAAAAGCUUUUUCUUUAAGUAGCUUAACAAAUUUAAUGUUUAAUAUUUAUUAAAUGUAGUUAAGUAAUGUAUUUGAUUAAGUGUAAGUUAUAUGUAGAGUUUGUAUUACAAAAGAAAAUAUAUUUUGAAUCUCAAAUGUUCUAUUUUUCCAGUGAUCAAAUGGGCCACUGAGGAUCAAAACAGACAAUGAACUCAGCAAUGCGUGAUCACUAGUUUUAAAUUUGUAGUAUUCCAUGAAGAAUUAUGAAGGAUUUAUAUGCGUAGUACUCUACCAGUUAGUUUUCUCGUGUCAUAAAAUAUUAACACAACAGUACGGUGAAAAUGAACAAAAAUGUACCCUGCAUUCUUUUUUGUAGUUAGUACCAGAUGAUGUCCAUUUUAUUUCUAGGCAAAUUUUGCAAUUCAGUCAUUAUUUAGAAAUGUCAUAAGUAUUUUCAAACUAAUCAUUGAUUUAUUUAGGAAUUUCGUAAAUGUUUUUGAAAUAGUCAUUGGUUAAGAAAAAUAAGGCCUCCUACUGUUUCAGCUGACAUGAUAUUCAAGACAUAAGACUUUGUAAAUUCAUGCAGCACAAAAGCUAUCCAUUCACAAAAAAAUUAACAUUUUUAUAUUGGCAGAUGAAAAAGACCGUUUCUAGGAGUAAUUCAUUUCCUUGCAUAUUUACUCUAAGGCAGACAUCCUUAAGUACUACAUACACAUGCUUUAGGAGACAGUGUUUUAGGAAGCAGAAAUGUGCCUUACAUUUUCAAGCUUAGGAAUCUUGUUUACAUGUUCCUACUCUGAUUUUGCAUAACAGUGAGUAAUAUGUUGUAUAAAAUAUGCAAUUUAUUUGAUGUUUCAAUUUAUGAGAAAGAAAAUGUCUCCAACUUUGCGGAUUUGUUAACUAAAUCAGAAAAGAUACCAACACUUUUAUCGUUAUUUUUCCUUUCUGCUAUCUUUGAUUUGGAAAAACAGAAAGAUAAAUGAAUUCACUUCUUUUACUUUAAAUUUAGUGUUUGUACUCAUUGCAACCAUCCAAAACCUGUGCAUACCCCUGUGCCAACACAUCCACAGGGAUGCGUGUUAAUUUCUUUCCCUGAUUUUAAAAACAUCCAUCAGAAUAAGGCGUACUUGCUUAUCAAGGCUAUUCAGCCAUACAGCUAGCUAAUAUGCACCCAUACUUUACAACACCUGGGUCCCCCUUUCCUCUACUGUUUUAAAAAUGUAUGUAGGUUUGCAUACUACAGUCUUAUUGGGAAGAUAUUUAUGGCCGUUGAUAGAUGUCUGAAAGAUUGUGUGUUUUUUUUUUAUCUCAAUUCCCUCCAUUUAAUUUGCCAUCUGAAAUAUAUAUUUACUUUACUAUCCCUUUCUCUUCUUUGUCAGUUGAUUUUGAUUUAUGCAAUUACCCUGUGGUACAGAAAUCACAUCUUCCCUACCCAUGAAUAUCCUCUGCAGUCAUAACUUAUUCAGUAUUUCUCCUCACAUUCUAACUUGUAGGUACCUUUUACAAUUUUAGCAAACCUCAUUACUGCUCCCUGCAGUAACCUACAUUUUGAAAAAAAUGUAGUACUGCCCAACUUGAUCCCCUGUACGCAUGCCAGGUCUUACCACUGACAUAUACAGUGGGAGCAUUUUGGGUUUUCUUGAAUUAUUACUUUUGCCUGCACAUCAGUGUCUUGUUAGCUUUCCAUACAGCUUAUUUCUGACUGACUCAUAUUUAGAAUAAUAUUGACUUGUAGCUCAAACGCCCUCUUCAGUCACCCAAAAUACUUGGCCUUCCAACUGCAAGUCAGUGUCCCCGUCUUAGUCCCAUCUGCACAAAUAUCUGCUUCUUAAGCUUGCACUUUAUAGCGAGUAUUGUACAGUUUUUCACAGAUUACUGUACUAAAGGAAGACUGAUCUAGUUUGCAUCACCAAAAGCUUCAAAAUGAGCAUUUCAAACAUAAUUUUAUUUGGAUGGGGAUUUGUCCUUACUACCCGAUGCAGGCAGCUAUGUCCCUGCAACCUCCAACUAUUUUAUUCUUAAGACAAUACCAUUUAUAUGGAAGGAACUACCCACUUCUAAUUUGACAAAGUAGCUCAAUCAACCUUAGGUUUAUUUUUCUGUGACCAGUAAUAUGGUUUCUUUUAUACUGAAAUAAAAAAUCCAAAACAAUGUGGGAUAGAAAACAGGGCUUGAUUGUAUGGCACUAGUUAGCUCAUACUUUGAGAGAAGAAUUUGCCAUUCUGUUUUUUGCCCCUCAAACACUUUUUGACUGUCUGUGGCCUUAGGACCAAUCUCAGUCAUUCCCACUUUUUCAGCCAACUUUUGUUAUGACACUUUGUGAGACACCUUUCUAUAACAACAUAAUUAUUACAAUUUCUCCUCACCUGUUUCUGCUGGUACCCAGUUCCCCAAAACUAUGUAAUGUAAACCGUUUUGACAUACGGUUUGUGAAUCCAUGUUGAUACAAAUCCUGCACUAAUUGUUCCGAUAUGAAUUGCACAUGUACUCUUUUAAUCAGUUCUGGUAGUCAUUCCAUGUACUUGAAAUAAAGCUGACUUAUCUGUAAUUAUCCAGUUCCAUCAAUGUUACUGUUUUUUAAUUUAUUUAUUUGUCAAAGCCAUACUGACCAGCACUUUAACUUACUAUAUAUUUCCCCCUUUGCAUUCCUCAGCCUGUGUUUUAUUUUACAAAUAAAACAGUAGUUGAGCACUGUUCUUAGUGCACUUACUUCCACCUCAGACUGUCAUCAGAAUUUGAUUGCAUUACGAGUCCACUCUUGAGUCCUGUAUAUCGGUAUAAAGAAUCAGGGCUCCCCUUAAUUCAGCCUUUACCAUUAAGAUAUAAUUUGUCAUUUAAACCACUUUUAGUUCUUCUGUUUUGCUCUGCUGAACAUGUUUUUUUUUUUUUCUUGAUAUAAAAAUGCACCCCAUUCCAUUCUACAAAUCCAGGAACUCCUGAAAGUGCUGUUAUUUUGCUACAUUGUUACUGUUCUUGUUGCUGUUAUCCUAUGCAUGUGCGUUCAUGGCUGUAACUACUCCUGUCUCUAAUAAGGAAGUCUAAAAGGGAGAUGUUCUUCUUAAGUAUUAGUGCUUUCGAAUACUGUUCUCUUAUGAGAUGGAGAAGGGCUUUGGGGACAGCUAAGAAGGCAAUAUGGUGACCAGUAAAGAUUACCUGACUUGGACUAUGUCCCAUUUUACACAAAUUGUGAACUUCUCUAGAAAUUAUAUGACUGAGCAACAAAUAGAAUAAUUUCCGCAAUUCUUGCAGUUCAGGCUGUGCAGUGUUGACUGACUUGCCUGGUGUGGAUUUAGUGUGAUUCAGAGAUGUGCAUUUUUAGUACAUUCGAAUCACCCUGCCAUACAACUAGACCACCUCAUCAACUGACUGUAAACCACAGCCCCUUGUCUUUAUUUUUGUCACAAAUGUAUACAUCUGUACACAGAUAAAUGAAGCUGUGUAUGGAUACCCAUCAGCAAAGCCUGUGCCAUACUGAUCUAUUCACCAUUUUUUUUUAUUUGUUCCAAAGGAAAUAAUGGUUUGCCCAUAACAUUACCAGUGUAUAUGUUUGGUAACUUCCACGCACAUUUGUUGUGCUUGUAUACAAUGCUGACCAACUUCCACACAUAUUUACUAUGUUUGCAUGCGCAUGCUCGGUAAUUUCUACACACAUUUGACAACACCUGUACUGGCAAAACUCUCUUAAUUUCUGUACUCACCUUGCUAAAAUAUUUUACAUAAUUUGCAUGAGGCAUGCCAGUGGAAUUUCUUACCUGCAUAGUUCAUCUGAUUCCAGUGCAAGUCCCCUUUAAGUAAUCCGUUUGGAUUGCCCCACCUUUGUGGAUUACACAAACCCCAGUCUGUAAGCCCUUCUGAAUCCUACCUAGUGGUGUAAAUAGUCAUGCUUUCUUUUUGUAUUGGACUAAUGUGAAGCCAUGCAUUCAUUCAUGAUAGUAUGAACUGUAAACCAAGUUUUAAUUUUUAAACUUUCAUUAAAAAAUACAAGAUGUAAGUUUGUGAAGACAUAACAGUAAUGAAGACAGUAUUUACAGAGGUUCAGCACUACAUUAUUCUUUGUUUUCAUAUUUUACUGAUAUCAUUAUUGUUACACAAUGAUUAUAUGACCAUUAGUCAAGAAGCUGUGACCAGGAGAGAGGAUGAUACAAUUACCAAAAGUAAGUUCAGUCUUGUUUAAUAUUUUCUUCUUAAGAACAAAGUUUUUUGUUGCUGUUUAUCACUACAAAUGGCAGAUUCAAUUUGUGCACAAUUUUGUUAUUGCCAAGUUAUUUGUGUUUUUGGGUACAGUUUACAAUAGCUUUGGAUCUCCAUUGUGCGUCAUGUUGUCCAGCAAUAAAACCCUUUCAUGAA